UUGUUCACUCCAUAGCUUGAAGAAGUAGACAUGGUGUGAUAUUGUUUCGGUUCGCCACCAAAAUAAGCAGUUAUUUUUGGCGAUGAGCCGAACCAAUAUCACUCUUGUAUACUUUUCAUCACACAAAAAUGGGAAUAAAAUAAAAUCAUCUCCAAUAUACUUGCAAGAAUACUUCUGUGGUGGCCAACAGCAUUUUCUUUUAACCUAGCUACCUUCCAGGAAUUGAUGUUGAGACAUGAUACGUACAAAUGCAGUAAUUCUUUAUGAAUCCAAGCUCUGAAACGUGAUACCCAACUUUGAUCAAAUUUCAAUAUAUUUAUAAGCUAUUGUUCUCUUA